rnacentral:rRNA from 1 species
AUUGAACGCUGGCGGCAUGCCUUACACAUGCAAGUCGAACGGCAGCGCGGACUUCGGUCUGGCGGCGAGUGGCGAACGGGUGAGUAAUGUAUCGGAACGUACCAUUGAGUGGGGGAUAACGUAGCGAAAGUUACGCUAAUACCGCAUAUUCUCUCCGGAGGAAAGCAGGGGACCGCAAGGCCUUGCGCUCUUUGAGCGGCCGAUAUCAGAUUAGCUAGUUGGUGGGGUAAAAGCUAACCAAGGCGACGAUCUGUAGCGGGUCUGAGAGGAUGAUACGCCACACUGGAACUGAGACGCGUUCCAGUCUCCUACGGGAGGCAGCAGUGGGGAAUUUUGGACAAUGGGGGCAACCCUGAUCCAGCCAUGCCGCGUGAGUGAAGAAGACCUUCGGGUUGUAAAGCUCUUUCGGCCGGGAAAAAAUCGCAUGGAUUAAUACUCUGUGUUGAUGAUGGUACCGGAAUAAGAAGCACCGGCUAACUACGUGCCAGCAGCCGCGGUAAUAC